rnacentral:rRNA from 1 species
GACGAACCGUGCGAACGUUGUUCGGAAUCACUGGGCUUAAAGGGCGCGUAGGCGGGCGUCCGAGUCAGGGGUGAAAGCCCCCGGCCCAACCGGGGAAGUGCCCCUGAUACCGCACGCCUGGAGGGAGGUAGGGGUCGCCGGAACUUCCGGUGGAGCGGUGAAAUGCGUAGAUAUCGGAAGGAACGCCGGUGGCGAAAGCGGGCGACUGGACCUCUGCUGACGCUGAGGCGCGAAAGCCAGGGGAGCGAACGGGAUUAGAAACCCCCGUAGUCC